rnacentral:rRNA from 1 species
AUUGAACGCUGGCGGCAUGCUUUACACAUGCAAGUCGAACGGUAACAGGCCGCAAGGUGCUGACGAGUGGCGAACGGGUGAGUAAUGCAUCGGAACGUGCCCAGUCGUGGGGGAUAACGCAGCGAAAGCUGCGCUAAUACCGCAUACGAUCUAUGGAUGAAAGCGGGGGACCGUAAGGCCUCGCGCGAUUGGAGCGGCCGAUGUCAGAUUAGGUAGUUGGUGGGGUAAAGGCUCACCAAGCCGACGAUCUGUAGCUGGUCUGAGAGGACGACCAGCCACACUGGGACUGAGACACGGCCCAGACUCCUACGGGAGGCAGCAGUGGGGAAUUUUGGACAAUGGGCGCAAGCCUGAUCCAGCAAUGCCGCGUGCAGGAAGAAGGCCUUCGGGUUGUAAACUGCUUUUGUACGGAACGAAACGGCUCUGGUUAAUACCUGGGGCUAAUGACGGUACCGUAAGAAUAAGCACCGGCUAACUACGUGCCAGCCGCCGCAGUAA